rnacentral:rRNA from 1 species
UACGGGGGAGCAAGCGUUGUUCGGAUUUACUGGGCGUAAAGGGCGCGUAGGCGGCCACCGCAAGUCAGUUGUGAAAUCUCUGGGCUUAACCCAGGACGGUCAGCUGAUACUGCGGGGCUAGAGUGCAGAAGGGGCAACUGGAAUUCUCGGUGUAGCGGUGAAAUGCGUAGAUAUCGAGAGGAACACCUGCGGCGAAGGCGGGUUGCUGGGCUGACACUGACGCUCAUGCACGAAAGCGUGGGGAGCAAACAGG